rnacentral:rRNA from 1 species
CCUACUGGUGGCUGCAGUAGGGAAUCUUCCACAAUGGGCGAAAGCCUGCUGGAGCAACGCCGCGUGGGUGAAGAAGGUCUUCGGAUCGUAAAACCCUGUUGUUAGAGAAGAAAGUGCGUGAGAGUAACUGUUCACGUUUCGACGGUAUCUAACCAGAAAGCCACGGCUAACUACGUGCCAGCAGCCGCGGUAAUACGUAGGUGGCAAGCGUUAUCCGGAUUUAUUGGGCGUAAGGGGAACGAAGGCGGUCUUUUAAGUCUGAUGUGAAAGCCUUCGGCUUAACCGGGGUAGUGCAGUGGAAACUGGGAGACUUGAGUGCAGAAAGGGAGAGUGGAACUCCAUGUGUAGCGGUGAAAUGCGUAGAUAUAUGGAAGAACACCAGGAGCGAAAGCGACUCUCUGGGCUGUAACUGACGCUGAGGUUCGAAAGCGUGGGUAGCAAACAGGAUUAGAUACCCUUGUAGUC